rnacentral:lncRNA from 1 species
UAGAAAUCAAUGGUUAGCAGGCCCAUGAAUAAUCUUUGGGGCAUAAUGAAGACUCUGAUGGAAAAGAGGUUGUCAAGAAAGUUCUAGAGGAGGACUUUGGCCACAGCGAUCUUGGGGAACAAAUGUGCUUCGGGUGUGAGGAGAGACUUGCUUAAUCAGAAGACUUUCCAGCUUCACUGCUCUGCAAGAAUGUGGACAGGACGGAGGCCCACCUUCCAGAAGAAAACAGUAAGAUCCGAGGUUUACGUUUAUCCCUCAUGCUUGAACUUUGUCUCCGACAUGCAGCAGUAGCCAAAGACAAGACCUCAGAGCAAAUGCACUGGAAACCCCGUCCCCAGGAUAAUCCCCUUUGAGGACUCGGCUCACAAAUCC